GACGAACCGUCCUACCGUUGUUCGGAAUCACUGGGCUUAAAGGGCGCGUAGGCGGCUUGCCAAGUCAGGGGUGAAAUCCUGCAGCUUAACUGUAGAAGGGCCUUUGAUACUGGCGAGCUCGAGGGAGGUAGGGGUAUGUGGAACUUCCGGUGGAGCGGUGAAAUGCGUAGAUAUGCGGAGGAACACCGAUGGCGAAGGCAAUCCCCUGGACCUGUACUGAGGCUCAUGCACGAAAGCGUGGGGAGCAAACAGG
rnacentral:rRNA from 1 species